rnacentral:rRNA from 1 species
UACGUAGGGGGCGAGCGUUGUCCGAAGUUACUGGGCGUAAAGAGCGCGCAGGCGGUCGAUCAAGUCGCGUGUGAAAGCCCCCGGCUCAACUGGGGAGGGUCACGCGAUACUGAUCGACUCGAAGGCAGGAGAGGGUAGUGGAAUUCCCGGUGUAGUGGUGAAAUGCGUAGAUAUCGGGAGGAACACCAGUGGCGAAGGCGACUACCUGGCCUGUUCUUGACGCUGAGGCGCGAAAGCUAGGGGAGCAAACGGG